UCCAGCCGAUCAUCUCAAUCAGCCCACUACUGCGGUAGAGCCCCGCUGAUAGCUACUGGAAGGUUCCUGCGCUAACCGUAGCGAGGUCAGUCUUCUUAGGGAACAAGUACAGCUUUGCGAAUUAAUCCAGAACGGGUCAGGAGCCGGCAGCGACCUCCGUUGAUGCUGUGGACAGCCCACCACAUAAAUUCUAAAUUGUCAGCUUGAAUAGUUGGAAUUUUCUCAGGGUUCUGUUCACGACUAUCGAGGAAUAUUAUCCUCAUCUGAAUACCAACCAAUGACUAUUGAACUGCCCAACUCUAUUCAGCAAAGCUGUUAAGAAUCACAUCCCUGCUUACGCUGCGAGUCAUGGCAAGAACAGUGCGCUCUAGUACGAAUCGGGGCGUGAUGGAGGAGGUCCGUGUAGGAUUGCCAGAUCGGGUUGUUAAGCCUAUUCCUGUGCUAAUUGCGAGGUCAAAGUUCGUCCGCCGCUCGCUAGCUCAUCACCGGCAGGAUGUCACAGGCUCCUGCUGAUAUCUACAGCAGCCAUUUAUGCUCCUUACAGGACCUACAUACCCAGGUACGAGCAUGGCGGCUCUCCCUUCUCUUGCUACCACGACUACAGGAAAUCAUGGCGCAACACACUUGGCGGAGAACGCUCGGUGUAGCAGGACACAGCGGUGGGAAGAGGACUCCGCUCAGCAAUGAGACUCAUCCAAGAGGAUGUGAUUGAAAUGCAGUUUUGUUGGCCACUCGAGGAUCUGCCUCAGUGCUAGCCAUAUCACUAGCUUUAAUAUGAGUCGCUUACAAGUAGCUACUGGAUAUUUAUCACUGAGGAAGCCUACGCCUCUUUGAUCACCCUACGCCACCCUCCUUACAGAUUUUUCUGUAUUGGAUCCCAAUUUGAGGGCAAUAAGGCAUGUGGGCAGUGCGUGGAAGGAAAAUAGCAGUAUUGUCGAUUUCCGCUGCAGGGGGUAUGGGGGUUCGAAGAAGCAGAAUCAAAAUCAAGGAUGAGCUCGGCCCUUGAAAAAGCGUCAGUGCUUUAGUAAAGCGCGGAGUAAGAAACCGCGUUAAAAUCCCAGCGCAGAACCAGACAAUCAAUCCUUCAUUGAAUUACCGCACCCUCGCUGAAUAGGCACCAUUCCUGCUAUCUAAACUCCAACAUGCGUCAGCUCCCGACUCACAGAUAUCUUUCACUGUGCAAUUCAUCAAUGUGUAUGCAGUGGUCGAGUCCAACACAAAGUGUCUCUAGCAGUCACGAGUGGCAAGAAACUCAUCGUACAUGUGUUCUAAAAAUAGAAACCAGAAAGUAGGACAAAAUUUGAGCACACUGUUAUCCUGUUCCAUUGCAGCCUGCGGCGCCUCA